AAUGACCGUGUGACGCAGUUCUGGUCAAGCAGGUGUAAACAGAAGUCCCCAGCUGGGACUUUAGGAAAGCUUUUAUUUAUCUGUGAAAAAGGAACAGGCUCAGCUUUGGCCUCUCUUGUCCCGGUGCCCCUUCCACAUAUUCCAAGAGAGCAAACUUGAAGCCCCAGCUGCAGCGGCCAUUUGGUGACUAGGAAGAGACCACCAGGGGGACAAAGGCCCUACAAGAUUACAUGAUCUGGUGCUUUGAAGUCACCAUUGGAAAUUUGACCCUAACUGAAAUUUGACCUUAACUGUAGCAUCCAGGAAGAUGAUCUUAGGCUCAGAUAGCACUGGUAAGCAUAAGAAGAUAUGUCAAAGUAUUUUUGUGCCUGUGAAUUUGCUGCCAGGGUGUAGAGAAGCAAAUCUUAAAGCAACAUGUUCGGAUCAAGAAAUAGCUGGACAUGGCAGCAACCUGAUACGGAACAAUCAAGAACUGAAGGUUUAUUUUGAAUGAGAAGCAUAGGCCAACUGUGAGACUGAGUGACUGUAGCUGAGAAAAAGUGCCAACACAAUCAGUAGUGACAUCAGGCAUGAAGUUAUUGAGAACUUGUCUUGUUUCAUGACUCUUUCUACUGCCGCAUUCACACUGCACCCAUAGACUGCAAUACUAUCUGUGGAGAAGGAAAACAGUUCUUCAAUUCAUUCCUGUUUUAAUGACAGCUUCUGAGCUGUCAUGAUUUGAAAUUACAACAAAAAAAUGGUUCUUUCAGAAAAAAACAAACAAUAUUAUUUCAAAGCCAAAUUGCCUGUUAAAUAAGAAUGCCUCAUCAUUAAAUGGCCUUUAGUAUACAUUGCCUCUACAGUCUGCCACCAAUUUCUAUAUUCGUUGUUCUCCCUUUUCUAUGGUUGUAUAGUUAUGGACAAAGUCAUUUCAUUCUUCCUGGUCCCUACCAAUGUUAUUAUUUUAUUGAUAUAGAUCAUAGAAGCUGCUCGGUAAGUAUUGUUGAACAAUGUAUAAUUGCAACAUUUUAUAUUUGGCUAUCGCCUUAGGAGUUUGCAAAGUACUUUAUCAUGACAUAUUUAAUUGAACUUCACUGCAACACAAUUAUAUUAUCCAAAAUAUGUGCUUUGGAAGCCUCAUUAUUUUAUAGCCAUAUUUCCUGUAUCACACACACACACACCUAUCACAGACACAUAAAGACAGACACAUGACUAUAUAAGCAAUAUUCCCCAAACCUAUGCUUUGUGCUUUGUUUAGGAUUUCCUUAUCAAUAUAUAUUUUUAAAAAUAAAAGCCUUCUUCCUCUUUA